ensembl:snRNA U6 U6 spliceosomal RNA
GUACUCACUUCAGCAACACAUGUGCUAAGAUUGGAGUGAUACAGGGAAGAUAGGCCUGGCCCCUGCGCAAGGGUGGCAUGCAAACCCGUGAAGCAUUCCAUGUUUUU